rnacentral:sRNA from 1 species
UUGGACACUUUUUAAUCAGGGCAUGGUCAAUUUAUCGAGCAUGCCCAGUCAAAGUAAAAAAAACAUGACUUGUGCAUGCUCGCUUAGUUUACUUACUACGCGUAAUGGGUAGUAUGUAGCCCGCAAUUUUCCGUUGGAAA